AACCCAAUUUAUGUCUUAGAUCUAAAGAAAAGAUAGCCCUGUUGAACAUCAUUUUGUUACAAUAUGUUUUUAUUACAUAUUUUAUCUGUUUCAGGUUUGUAGUGCCUUAUUUCCUAUUUUGAUUAGAAGGGCUUUUAUUUUGAAGGCGGCAUUCUGGUACUCGCCCAGUUCCUGCUUCACGCAACAGUAAAGAUAAACAGUAAAGAUAAACAGUAAGAUGAAAGAACUAAGAAGGAAAAAUGCAAUAUUUUAGCACCCCCCGAAGAGGCACAAGGUUAGCAUUUAGUGUAAUAUUAAUGUGUGGUUAGUUCUUAAAGUAAUUUACGUAACGUUAUAUUACUGUUUGUUUAACUAAUUGAGUUAGCUUUAGCUUAAUACGAGCUAAUGUUAAGCUAUGUAAGGUGGCUAAUAUAUUGUUUGUUUUGUGAUUUGUACCCAGCUCUUACGUUGGUUUUGGGAUUGUCAUUAAACCUAAAAUCAUCAGUUCAAGUGUCAGACCAUCUUUCGGUGGGGUAUGCUACAGUAAGAGCUUCGCCUGUACCUGCUACACCAUGCUGCCUAUGUAAUCCACGAUACGACGGCACGGCACACAGAGCAGCAAUUUGCAGCACUGAACGUUAUGGUCAAAGGAGACGUUAAGGAAUACAACUACGCUCAAAAUGGAUGACAUAAAGGAACAGAUACAAAAGCUACAAACGGAAAUACAGGAAAGUAGGAGCUUACUACAUCAAGAGGAAAAUAAAGACGUGUCAAGGCAGGAAUUAAAGGAGACAAUUGAAAGCAGAGAAAAACGACUAGCUGAGCUUCAACACAAAAUGGAUGACACUGAUGGGUUAACAUUACCACGUCGUUCAGAACGUCCUAGUGUACCCACAGAGAAAAUGCUAGCCUACCAAAAGGAGGAAUUGAGUAAAAAGGAAAAAAGACUGCUCAGCAUGUAUGAACAAUGGAAAAUUCAAAUCAGAAAAUCCAAAGAAAAUUUAAAGAAAGACAUAUCAGAAACAGAAUUGGCUGCAAUGGCAGACACCAUUGAAAAAGGAAAAGAUGGACUCAUGAGAGCUUACAAUGAAAUAAGAGAGCGUGCCACACCAUCUACUGAACUAAGACGCAAAAUAGAUGCAUGUGAGGCUGUAACUAAAGACAUUAUGAAAAUAGUCUAUGAACGCUUAUCAGCAAUAGAUGGCUGUUUUGAUGCAGAGCAUGAAAGACACCAGCUCCAUCAGCUACUAGCCCAUGACUAUGCUUACUCCAUAUAUGGUACUGCCUCUCUGUCAGGUGCCAGUCACCACUCUGAAUCAACAAGCAUAGCUGCAAAAAGGGCUGAUGCAGCCGCAGAGCUAGCUGCAAGGGAGGCUCAAUACAAAGUAAUGCAAGAAGAAAGAAAGCAAAAGGAAAAAAUAAGAAUAAUGGAGGAGAACCAUAGGAAGGAAUUAGACAUGCAGAGGUCUGAAUUAGAGCGUCUACAAGCAGAAAGGGACAUGGAGGCAGCUCGUGCCAGACUGGAUAUCUAUGACAGAGAAAUUAAACAGAGCCCCCCUGUAUACCACCAAAACCCUCACACUGUCGCACCAGCACCCCCUACAGACGUGUCCUAUCUGGCCCAAGCAAUUCAAGACAGCAUAGCCAUAAACAGACUCCCGAUGCCAAUGCCCACAGUGUUUAGUGGAGAUCCAAUCCACUACAUUGAAUGGAAGGCUUCAUUCAAGUCACUUGUAGACAGAAAAGGUAUUUCUUCAGCUGAUAAACUUUAUUACCUGAAGAAGCACGUUAGUGGCCCCGCUCACAAAUGUCUUGAAGGCACCUUUUAUCGAAACGAUGAUGAGGCAUACAGAGAUGCAUGGAAUAAGCUCAACCAACGCUACGGUCAGCCAUUUGUCAUCCAACGAGCUUUCAGAGACAAGCUGGCAAAAUGGCCAAAAAUACAGUCUAAGGAUGCAGAAGGAUUAAGAACAUUCUCAGACUUCCUAAAUGCCUGCCUGCAAGCCAUGCCUCAUGUGAAGGGUCUAGAAAUAUUAAGUGACUGUGAAGAAAACCAAAAGCUGAUACAGAAAGUUCCUGACUGGUUAGCAUCCCGUUGGAAUCGUCAGGUCACAACAGCCCUCAUGGGAGGUAAGGAGUUUCCCACCUUUGAGGAUUUCGCUAACUUUGUCUCAGUAGAAGCAGAGAUAGCAUGCAAUCCAGUCACUUCCCUACAUGCUCUUCACUCUUCUAACUCAUUCCAGGACAAAAGAAACACAAAGGAAGUAAAGGGAAGCAAAGCCAAUGUCUUCAACACUCAAACUGCCAUAAACAGUGUUAAAUCAGUAUCAAGCAGUGGAAAAUCAAGAAUCCCCUGCAUGUGGUGCAAAGAUGACAAGCAUCAACUCCCAAAGUGCGCAGACUUUAUGGAAAAGUCUCUGGAGGAGCGGCGAAAACAUGUGAAGGACAAUAAGCUGUGUUACGGAUGUGUGAAACCCGGUCACACUGCCAAGGAAUGUCGUCACCGCCACACUUGUGAUAUAUGCAAGGGAAGACAUCCUACCUGUCUCCAUGAUGAGAACUACAGAGGACGUGAAGGUAGAGAAGGGCUUGUAGCUAAUGUGAACACAGCUUCAAACACAGUAAACGAAACCACAGCAGCCAUGGCACUCAACGUCACUAGAGGGGGUCAGUCAUGCAGCACUUCCAUGAUCGUCCCUGUAUGGGUGUCCUCUGCUACAAACCCAUCUAAGGAACAGCUUGUCUAUGCAUUAUUAGACACUCAAAGUGACAGCACCUUCAUCGACAAUGGAAUAAGUAAUGAACUACAAACAGAUUCCCACCCGGUGAAACUGAAACUUACCACUAUGCUCGGAGAGAGCAUGAUCAUGAAGAGUCAAAGGGUGGCUGGACUCCGUGUGAGAGGUUACAACUCAUGCUUUCACAUCGACCUUCCUCCUUCAUAUACAAAAGACUGCAUUCCUGGGAACCGUGACCAUAUACCCACUCAUGAAACAGCAAGGAGAUGGCCUCACUUAACAGCAAUCACCGAUAAGGUGCCACCUCUCCUUAGCUGUGAUGUAGGACUCCUAAUUGGAUACAACUGUCCCAGAGCACUAACCCCCAGACAGGUAUUAACAGGAAAAGACAACGAGCCCUAUGCCAUUCUUACAGAUUUGGGGUGGAGCAUUGUUGGCUGCUCAACACCAUGCGUUGAUGAAACAGACUCUAGUCUGUGUCACAGAGUCACAGUAAAGGAACUCCCUCCAGUAACACCGAUGGAUGUGAUAAGUGUCCUGGAGUCGGACUUUAAGGACACUAAAAGAGACGACAAGACUGUCUCACAAGAGGAUCUUCUUUUCCUGAGCAAACUAAAUGAAGGCAUAAGGAAAAAUGACCAGGGACAUUAUGAGAUGCCUCUGCCCUUUAAGCAACGGCCACACUUACCUGACAACAGGAAACUCGCUGAAAUCAGGCUCAGUCAUCUACGACGGAAGUUCUACAGGGAUGAGAAAUAUAAAAGAGACUACACAACAUACAUGAAAGAAAUCAUUGAGAGAGGUGAUGUCGAGGAGGUAUGCGAAGAUGGAACACCCGGUGAACGAUGGUACAUUCCCCAUCAUGGCAUCUACCACCCUAAAAAGCCUGAAAAACUGCGUGUCGUGUUCGACUGUUCUGCAAAGCACGCCGGCACAAGCCUCAACGAACACCUUCUUCCAGGGCCAGACAUGAUAAACAACCUAACGGGCGUCCUCAUACGGUUCAGACAGCAUCCCAUAGCUCUCAUGUGUGACAUAGAGAAAAUGUUUCACCAGUUCCAUGUCCAAGAGGAUGACCGCAACUACCUGCGUUUCCUGUGGUGGAAAGAUGGAGAUACAAACACACAACCUCAGGAAUACCGAAUGAAGGUACAUCUUUUCGGUGCUGUGUCAUCCCCUGGCUGUGCGAACUAUGGCCUGAAAUAUCUAGCCAAGGAAAACAGUCUUUCACAUCCAAUAGGAUCCCAGUUCAUCACCAGAGACUUUUAUGUGGAUGAUGGAGUCACAAGUACAGACACGGUGGAAAGGGCCAUUCAGUUGGCACACGAGGCAAGAGAGAUAUGUGCCAAAGGUGGUCUCCGUCUUCAUAAAUUUGUGUCAAACAACCAUGCUGUUCUACAGAGUGUACCCUCGUCAGAAUGUGCGAUAGAUGCUAAGACAAAGGAUUUGACCUUCAACGUUAUACCACUGGAGCGAGCGCUAGGGAUUCACUGGAGCAUAGAGGGGGAUAGUUUCAGAUUCAACAACACCUUGAAAGACCAACCAGCGACACGUAGAGGCAUACUGUCUACUGUUGCCUCCAUAUAUGACCCCCUCGGCUUCCUUGCGCCUUAUGUUCUCAAAGGAAAGAGGAUCUUACAGGAAAUGUGUCACCAAGGUAUUGGUUGGGAUGACCCCCUACCAGAGAUGCUGAAGCCACGGUGGGAGAGCUGGCGUCACGACUUUGCCAACCUGCAGAAAGUAAACAUAGCUCGAUGUUAUGUACCUGCCAAUUUUGGAGAGGUCAUAGAUACAGAGUUGCAUCACUUUUCAGAUGCGAGCGCCAGUGGAUACGGACAAUGCUCUUAUCUGAGAGUCAGAAACCAAAGAGGAGAGAUUCACUGUUCUCUUGUGAUAGGAAAGGCCCGUGUUUCUCCCACAAAAUUGACUACAAUACCAAGGCUUGAAUUAACUGCAGCAGUGGUUUCAGUCACCAUCAGCAAUAUGCUCAGAGAGGAACUCGGUUAUGCUGAUGGGAAAGAGUACUUCUGGACAGACUCAAAGGUAGUCUUAGGCUACAUAAAUAAUGAUGCACGGCGCUUUCACACCUUUGUCGCCAACCGGGUCCAGAAGAUCCGCCAUAGCACAAGUCCCCAGCAAUGGCUUUAUGUCCCCACAGAUAAGAAUCCAGCGGAUGGCGCAUCCCGGGGAAAAACUGUAAAUGAACUGCUCACAUCCAACUGGUUUACUGGUCCCAUGUUCCUCUGGGAAAAGGAAAUACCUGCACCUAGGGAUGUAAUACUGGACCUAAGCGUAGGAGAUCCAGAAAUCAAAAGGUCACAAACACUGCAAACAAAGACCACAGAACCAGUGAGUCUUGCCGACCGUAUGUCCAAGUUCUCAUCAUGGUCCCGAGCCACCAAGGCUGUGGCCCGCCUUCUGCGACGGGCUAAGAAAAUCAAAUCAUGUGUUCAUUCUACAGUGAGUGAACAGGAAAGUGCUGAACGUGUCAUAAUCCAAGACCUGCAAAGUCAAGCAUAUGAGAAGGAAAUCCAGCUGUUAAACAAAGGAAGUCAACUACCACAUUGCAACAAACUGCACCGCCUUGAUGUUUUUCUAGACACGGACGGUAUCCUCAAGGUUGGGGGAAGACUCCGCCACUCAUCCCUUGCUGACUCAUUCAAACACCCGAUUGUCAUCCCCAAAGAGCAUCAUGUGACAAAACUAAUAAUAGCUCACAACCACGAAAAGACAAAACAUCAAGGAAAAGGCUUCACCACAAAUGAAAUCAGAUCCAAUGGCUAUUGGAUCCCUGGUAUGAGCCGAGCAGUUGCUUCAUACAUUCGUCAGUGUGUGACUUGCCGUAAGCUCAGGAGACCUGCAGAGGGCCAAAGAAUGAGUGACCUACCUACAGAACGAGUAGAGCCCUCCCCACCAUUCACAUAUUGUGGUAUGGACUGUUUUGGUCCUUUUGUUACUACAGAGGGAAGAAAACAGCAUAAGCGAUAUGGCCUGCUCUUUACCUGCUUUUGCUCACGGGCCGUCCACAUCGAGAUGCUAGACGAUAUGUCCACCGAUGCUUUCAUCAACGGCCUGCGAUGCUUCAUUGCUAUUCGAGGUGCAGUCCGUCAAAUCCAGUGCGACCAAGGCACUAACUUUGUUGGCGCAAAGAAUGAAUUCAAGGCAGCUCUGCAGGAGCUCGACACACAGAGGCUCUGUACAUUUCUGUCACAAAAGCAGUGUGACUUUGUCAUGAACGCACCCCACUCCAGUCAUGCAGGCGGCGUGUGGGAGCGCCAGAUAAAGACUGUCAGGAGUGUCCUGAACUCCACUCUAUCACUUUCUCAUGGCAGACUCAACGAUGCCUCAUUACGGACUCUACUUUAUGAAGCCAUGGCUAUAGUCAACAGCCGACCCCUCACCGUGGAUAACUUAAAUAGCCCUGACAGCCUGGAGCCACUCACCCCCAAUCAUCUGAUCAAUAUGAAAUCCAGCAUAGCACUGCCUCCCCCUGGCACAUUCCCCAGAGAGGACUUGUACGGAGCGAAAAGAUGGCGGCGUGUACAAUAUCUGGCAGAGCAGUUUUGGAGUCGCUGGAAACGGGAGUAUCUUCACAACAUCACCACAAGGCAACGAUGGCACAUGCCGAUGAGAAAUAUACAAGUGGGUGAUGUAGUGAUGGACAUUGAUGAACUGUCACCCAGAAGUGAAUGGAGACUCGCAAGAGUCUUAGAGACUGUCAGUGGUAAAGAUGGACUUGUAAGGAGAGUGAAAAUCUCAGUAGGAGAUAAGAGACUGAACAAGAAGGGUGAACGCCUUGGUACACGUUCCAUAUUAGAGCGACCAGUGCAGAAGUUAGUUCUGUUGUUAGAGGCUUCUUAAGCCCAUGACUGUAAGCAAACAUGAUCAUUCCUAAUGUGAAAAUUAUUCAUAGUUCAUAUCAUUUAUUAUGAAACAUUCAUAAUUUUGGUGGGAGUGUAAAUAACCCAAUUUAUGUCUUAGAUCUAAAGAAAAGAUAGCCCUGUUGAACAUCAUUUUGUUACAAUAUGUUUUUAUUACAUAUUUUAUCUGUUUCAGGUUUGUAGUGCCUUAUUUCCUAUUUUGAUUAGAAGGGCUUUUAUUUUGAAGGCGGCAUUCUGGUACUCGCCCAGUUCCUGCUUCACGCAACAGUAAAGAUAAACAGUAAAGAUAAACAGUAAGAUGAAAGAACUAAGAAGGAAAAAUGCAAUAUUUUAGCACCCCCCGAAGAGGCACAAGGUUCAUUACUGAAGUCUGGAGGAUCAACUUUAGACCAGUCAGAUAUCAGAGACUCUGCUCCGUCCUCAUCUUCUGGAGUCUGAGAGGUGUUUUGGUGAUAAAGUGGAAACGUCCAAGCCAGACAUUCACAGUGAUACUGUCUAAGUCUACUCUAAGAUGUUGGAUCUUUAAAUCAAUCAUAAUCAGAAGACAGGAGACUGUGAGUAGCCCAUGAUGGCUGCCAGUUCAGACCAGUUUAAAUAAUAUGACCACCAAAUACUUACUAUGGGUAUAUAUAGUAACUAUUAAUGAAACAAUAUACUUUUAUUUUGCAGUAAAAUCAUCAAAUGUAAAAGGUGGCUCAUGUUACCCCGUUCUCCCCGACUGUCUAAUUGAUGAUUAGAACCAAUCACAAACUUUAUUGACUAUUUCCAAGUUGCUUUUGUAAAUCCC